UAGCUCAGUUGGUUAGAGCACCACCUUGACAUGGUGUGGGUCGUUGGUUCGAGUCCAAU
rnacentral:tRNA from 1 species